UCCCUGUUCAUAUUGGAAUGACUGAUGUUUCCUCAUGGCUGGUCCCAUGCUGCUGGAAUUACAUGGGACAGGCAGUUGAUACUUCCUGUGCCAGCUAUUUCUCCUUCCCUCCCAAUCCAAGUUGCCAAUACUGUUGUGUAAUAACCCUGUAACACUACUGGCUCCAGCUAAUUCUGGCUUUUGAGCACUACAAGCCUGAUGUGGGAUCCAGCCACCGGAAAGAGGCAAUACCACACAUCGUUCUAACGGUAGGCUUGAUUUGUUGAGCAGCGUGUGCCUGGCAAGUCACCCACACCACAGCUUUGCCACUGAGCCAGAGCUCAGCAGCAGCAGAACAGACCUCUUGCCUUACUAAAAGGGUCACGAGGCUCACCCACAGCAGGCAGUAGUGCAGGGCAGCUGCAUGCUCAGGUUGAGAGUCUGGGAUGGGUCUGUAUGCUUUGCUCAAGCAUGUUGUUCAGUACUGGGUGCAAAAUUGCCUGCAUGCUGAGAUCUCAGCUUCCACUUCAAAAAGAGACAGCAAGUUUCUAGUUUUAUGACUGUGGAAAGAAGACUAAAUGGGCAGUGUUUCGUUAAACGCCCCAAAGAUGGGGUUUGGGGAGGAAGAAAGUGGCUCAGGGAGAUUCCUAAUGAGUUUGUGGGAUCUGGGCCCUCCUCUUCAACAGCCAGCACAUAAUUAAUUUUGCAAAGUAAGCAUAUUUGCAAAUUUACUUUUCUCAGAGGUUCUUUUUUAUAUAAAAGGCAGAGUACAUAACAACCCUGGUAUUGUGAAGAUGCACAGGGCAAGCUGUUACAUGGUUAGAUGAACUGAUGUGCAAACAGCUGCAAAGUAAGAACAAUCAGCAGCAUGGAGGAUGCAAUAUAGAUAUCUAUCUUCUCUAUCUAUAUAUACAUGCAGGCAUGAGCUGCUGGACAGCUGACGCCAUCCAUUCGAGGCAGCAAAGGUGAUGAAGCAAGCUGCAAUGCCGAUGGAGCCCUGAAGGGCAAGUGCAUGUAAGCAGAUUCGCACACUCGGAACGCACACACUUAUAUAUAGCUUGGAAAGCGAUGCUCUGCAAGUGAAGUGUCCGUAUGCUGUGUCGGCAGCAGCGGUUGGAUGAGUGAAAUGGGCAAACUGCUACAUGGCAUUGCAGAGGAGGAAAGUGCACACCCCUGAGGGUGCCCAGGCAAGCUUUGGUGAGCUUCUCCAAGUAUCUCUCUGCCAGGGGGGGAUACCCACCC